CCUACGGGAGGCAGCAGUGAGGAAUAUUGGUCAAUGGACGAAAGUCUGAACCAGCCAAGUAGCGUGAAGGAUGACGGCCCUACGGGUUGUAAACUGCUUUUAUACGGGAAUAAAGCGCGGUACGUGUCCCUUUUUGCAUGUACCUUAUGAAUAAGGAUCGGCUAAUUCCGUGCCAGCAGCCGCGGUAAUACGGAGGGUCCGGGCGUUAUCCGGAUUUAUUGGGGUUAAAGGGAGCGUAGGCGGGUUGUCAAGUCAGUUGUGAAAGUUUGGGGCUCAACCCUAAACUUGCAGUUGAUACUGGCAGUCUUGAGUACGCGUGAGGUAGGCGGAAUUCGUGGUGUAGCGGUGAAAUGCUUAGAUAUGACGAAGAACCCCGAUUGCGAAGGCAGCUUACUGAAGCGUAACUGACGCUGAUGCUCGAAAGCGCGGGUAUCGAACAGGAUUAGAUACCCCAGUAGUC
rnacentral:rRNA from 1 species